GAGGGUAUAGCCCAGUGGUAGAGUGCAUGCCUAGCAUGCAUGAGGUCCUGAGUUCAAUCCCCAGUACCUCCA
rnacentral:tRNA from 1 species